ensembl:snRNA Gm27934 predicted gene, 27934
AGCUAUUGCAGCUCUUUUAGCACUUUUCUAGGUUUUCUGACCUUGGUAGAAAAAGCCAUG